UUCAAAAUGGAAACAAUAAAGGCAUCAGAUUGUUUUGGAUGUGUUCAGCAUCUCUUACUAAAUGUGUGUUUAUCACUAAAUAUGUGUCAGCAUCAUCAGAUAUACAUAACUGUGUAAUUUAUAUUGACAAAAUAUUAUGUAGGCCUAUUUCCGUUUACAAAUUUUAGUAUAACUAUUGACAAAUAUACUGAAAGAAUUAAUCUGGACUAUGGUUCAUUAUGUAUAUAUCUAUAUGGUUCAUAUUUUGUUUUGUUGUUUCUGCAGCUAAUAGGAUUUCAUGAAAUUGGGUAAAUUAAAUCCCUUUUAUAACUUGUGUGAACAACAUUGAUAUGAUUGUGACAGAAAAUAUGAGCAAAAUUACUGAAAUAACAAAACUGCAAUCGUGCUGAACUUGUAGCAGGUGAAAUAAAGGAUCUUCAUGAUGAAAAAUGACUUUAAUUCUGUUCAUAAAGAUUUUUAUAAAUAUCAGAUGAAGUUGUAGGGACAUGUUUUAUCCAUGUCAUAAGCAGUAAAAUUUAUCAGACAAAUAAUACUCAAAAACUACAAGAUAUAAUUAAAUUUUAUAUAUGGAAUAGAAUGGAAUAUUUAUAUAGUUCAGCAGUAUUAUUUGUUUGAUGCAUUUUGGAAUAUCAAGGAAUUUUACAACCAUGAUUUCUAUAAACUUUUUAUGAGCUUUUUUAUUCUAUGUUUAUUCUAUUCCUUUUUUAUGACUUUUUUUUAUUCUGUGCUUUUUAAAAAGCUUUUUAACACUACUUUUGUUAAAAAAAACUAUUAAACCUAUCCGCUUUAAAAUUUCCCGAUGUUCCAAUGCCAGUGAGAGCCAUGUACAAAAGGAUAGAAUAGAAUAGAAUAGAAUAGAAUAGAAUAGAAUAGAAUAGACAUUUAUGCACUCAUUCAACUUUUCUGGAAAAAUGCAUGUGAUUGGCUACAAAAAAAAAAUAUUAAACAGAAUUGCAUGAGAAAAAAAUACCCACAAAUUAGCCCACAUACAAAAGUUUUUCUAUUCCACUACACAUUUACUAUUUUUUCUACUUUAUUGUAGUCUAUAUAUGUGCACUAUGAAUGCUGUCUAGGUAGGCAGCUCAGUAGGGUUUGAGACGCAGCCGAUGUUUUUAAUAUUUACAUGCAUACAAAAUCUCAUAAAUAGAGUAACUGCUCACAUUUGAAUGAGCACAACCUAUACAACACAUCACCGAUGCUAUUCAUAAUCAGUAAUGACUGUGAAUUACACGACCACCCCCUUGUUGCAAGAAAGACAAAGCGCGUGACGCGAGAGAACAGGACAGGGAAGAGUUAACCAUUACCGCUGUCUUUGGGGAGAUGGUGAUGUAAACCCUAAACCAUGUGACACUUUAAUAAAUCAUAGCGCCGACAGAAACAAACACACACUGUUCCAUCGACAGGCGAACAAAAACCAUUCUCCACAUCUAAUCAAACACAGCAGCGGGAAAAGAAGAUUAGAUAGAGCGCGCGCGGGAGGAUGUGCUGUCUGCCGGUGGAGCAGACUUUAGGCGCGCUCGGAGACUCCGUGUGCGCGCACGGAUGCGCUCCGCUGCCGUUUGCGCACCGACUGCGCUGGAUCGGAGACCAGCUGGAGAAGAGAUGGGCUGCAAACGACAAAAGCUCCAACGAUGGACAACGAAGCGGCGGGAAAAACAUCAUCAAAAGCUUCCAAAUAGUGUGCACAGUCAUUCAAGUAACGCUUCUGGUGUUUUUAGUCAAAAAGCGACACCUGUAGGUGAGACGAGGCCCUGCUGGUCUACAGCAACAGAUGAAUCUUCAGAUUCUCCUGGGACGAUCCGCUCCAGAUUUAUCGGAAAGGAGAAGGUGCCGGUCACGUCUGCACUCUGUAGAAACUUGCCAUGCAAACAGUGGGUCAAUGUUUUCUCAUCCAUGUAUAUCUCACAACUUUUGCAGUAGUGUUGUAAUGGAAACAUGCAAACAGCAGAUGCAUCUGUGCUGUACAUUACAAGCUGAUCACUCUCAUAACGACCAAUACUUCAUCCUGAAGUCUUCUUGAUUACCGAAGCAUGGCAAGCCGAUGUCAUUUGGUACGCAUUUGUUUGGUUUGAAGUCUUAAGGUCAGUGCAGUCAAACCCAGCGGUGUCUCCUGGGGUAACUUUCAAAAUAAAAGGCUGAUGUCAUUGUCCCUUGGCGUUUACGAGGAAAUUUUUUCUACCACUAUGGCAAUAGGAGCCUUGCCUCAACUUUGAUGACCUUACAGUUGAGUUUUUCUUGUUGAGAGGGUGCUUUGGAUAUGCAAAAGCUGUAAAUGGUUAAAAUAUGAUCAAUCACGGUCAAUCUUCAGAGGAGAGAUACCAAAAACACUGCUACCAAAACCUCUCCUCUGCAUAAUGCACUGUAACAUUUAGUUAUAAGCUACUGCAAGUGACUAUGCCAUUCAAUAUCUGAGCUGUGAUUUUGUUUCUUUGUUGUUUUUAUGAGAUAUUUAUUACUUUUAUUGUCCUUUACACUGUACUCUUCUCAAUGGAAAGCAUAUUUAUACUGUAGAAUGAUUUUAAGUGUAUUUGAACUUGAUGUUGUUUACAGAUGAAGACAAAUCUUUUUUAGGACUUUUUAUAAAGGGCUUCUGGCUUGAUUGUUUGUGUCAGUGUUAAUAUAGAAAUGUGACAUGAAUGAGAUUUCAUGCGAAAUGUGAAUCAAAAGGGCAUGCUACUGAUGUUUACAUAAGCUACAAUCUUUUAUAGUUUACGUUACUACCAUGUGUUUUAAACAUGUUUUACCUCUGCUAUUUUGAUAUUGUGAGUUUUGUCAUUUAUGAAAAUAAAAAGGCUUUAAAUAGACA